GACGUAGGGCGCGAGCGUUGUCCGGAUUUAUUGGGCGUAAAGAGCUCGUAGGCGGCUUGUCGCGUCGUCCGUGAAAACCUGCGGCUCAACUGCAGGCUGGCGGUCGAUACGGGCAGGCUGGAGUUCGGUAGGGGAGACUGGAAUUCCUGGUGUAGCGGUGAAAUGCGCAGAUAUCAGGAGGGAACACCGGUGGGCGAAGGCGGG
rnacentral:rRNA from 1 species